CUGGGUGUGGCGCAGCUUGGUAGCGCGCUUGAAUGGGGUUCAAGAGGUCGGGAGUUCAAAUCUCUUCACCCAGACCA
rnacentral:tRNA from 1 species